UACGUAGGUGGCAAGCGUUGUCCGGAUUUACUGGGCGUAAAGAGCGCGCAGGCGGUCGUUCAAGUCGCGUGUGAAAGCCCCCGGCUCAACUGGGGAGGGUCACGCGAUACUGAUCGACUCGAAGGCAGGAGAGGGUAGUGGAAUUCCCGGUGUAGUGGUGAAAUGCGUAGAUAUCGGGAGGAACACCAGUGGCGAAGGCGGCCCCCUGGUUGGAUACUGACGCUGAGACGCGAAAGCGUGGGGAGCAAACAGG
rnacentral:rRNA from 1 species